GACGAACGCUGGCGGCGUGCCUAAUACAUGCAAGUCGAACGCUGAAGGAGGAGCUUGCUUCUCUGGACGAGUUGCGAACGGGUGAGUAACGCGUAGGUAACCUGCCUGGUAGCGGGGGAUAACUAUUGGAAACGAUAGCUAAUACCGCAUAAGAGUAGAUGUUGCAUGACAUUUGCUUAAAAGGUGCAAUUGCAUCACUACUAGAUGGACCUGCGUGGUAUUAGCUAGUUGGUGGGGUAACGGCUCACAAAGGCAACGAUCCAUAGCCGACCGGAGAGGUGGACGGGCCACCCGGGACCUGGGCCACGGCCCAGACUCCUCCGGGGGGAAGCGUAGGGGAACCUCGGCCAAGGGCGGAAAUCUUACCGGAGAACGGCGGGUUGGGGAAGGAAGUUUUUCGGUCGUAAAACUCCUUUGAAUGGGAAGAAAGAGUGUGAGAGUGGAAUGUUCACACUGUGACGGUACCUUACCAGAAAGCGACGGCUAACUACGUG
rnacentral:rRNA from 1 species